UAGGUCUCUAGAUACCCAAAAUACAUGAACGCCGUUAAAAACCGGGUUGGAACAAUCCGUUAAGUUACUUUUUAUUAGACAGUGGAACUUUGAUCCAUUUCAGAUGGAUCAACCUAAAACUCGCCUUACCUCAACAUAACAAUCAUAAAACACACUCUAGGAAUUUAAAUUUGUACUCACAUAGUAGCACGCUCAAGAAGUGGGAAAUAAUCCAGUCGGUAAUUAACUCAAGAAUUAAAUAACGUAACUAAAUGAGUCUAAUGUUUUAUAGUUUGAACAAUGAGAACGAGUUUAUACUCUAGACAAUAGUUUUCUUGUGAACCAUUAGGACACUCAAGUUGUCCACCUUUCCACCGAAGGUUCACUCUAGUCCAGUUCCGAAUAACACUCCAGUCGCUAUAAUCCAAUUCGUGGGAAUGCUCUCGUCUCUGUCACAGAUGGGACAGCUCUACUCUCGAUUAUGAUAGUGAUGGAAAUUGCGAAUAGCAAUUUCCUACUGCUUUUUCUUACAACUUUCCCGCGUGUGUGACUCAAUCGUUCUGAAAUUGUUCUGAUUUCUUUUUUCUGAUUUUCAGUUAUCGCGAGAAAAUCGUGCAUGACAGGUUCCAUUCGAAAUUUUGAAAAAUUAAAUUUCACUCCAAAAUCAAGUGUUUUUUGCUUCUCUCAAGGUCAAACUUCCAAAUAUGACCGACUGGCACAUGUUUUAGAACCACGAAACCUCUACAGGACCGAUCAGAAGCGACCAGACGGUUUGACGAUCGUUCCAUGGGCUGUUGAUAAGCAGCUCUUGUGGGAUGUAACGGUUGUAGAAUCUUUCGCGCCUAGUAUUUUUUGUGCCGGGUGCGUUUGUAACCCUGGUACGUCUGCCGCUGAAGCAGAAGAGCAACAAAAUGAUAAGUAUAAAGAUCUAUUAGAUGAUGGGCAUCUUUUUCAACCUCUAGCUUUUGAGAUUCAGGGCGCGGCCAGCCCCAGCACAGAAAUUUGUUUGAGCAAACUUUGUAAGAACUUAAGCAUAUGCACUGAGGAACCCAGAGGUGGCAGUUUUAUAAAACAGAGAAUCUCCCUAGCAAUACUGAUUGCGAACCCCGCUUGCGUAUUCGUAACAAUAAAUGACAAAAUAACUUUCGAAGAAAUUUUUUAUUUGUAACAUUUGUAUUUUACAUUUUCUCGUGUCGAGUUGCGUGUUCUUAUUGAAAAAACGUAACCCGUUUUGGUUUUAAUUGUAAGGACAUCAACACUUGUCAUCUUCUUUUAUCAUUGUCACUUCCAUAUCUAGAAAAUUCCAAGGAUUUUGACUGGAAUACGUGAUGAAGGGACUCCUGACUGUAACCUCGGUUACUAUGAUACUUUUGACCUUCUGAUUACCUUUAUAGCUAGAAAAAAGCUCUAAGCUUUCUUUUUCUUUAACCUCACCACGGACAAAAAAACUACACAAUUGAAAGGAACUGUGUAUUGUGCUCGGAAAGUUCUGUGCUCUACCUUCACGACAACUGACUAUCUUUGUCAAACGUCACUGAACGUAGGAAUACACUUAUGAAGGUAGUUUUUAUUUAGAUGAAAGUCCUAAAUUUAUUUCACGCUCAAGUUUGAUUUUCGGGAUUUGACUUGGAUUUAUUUCCAAGUUCAUUUCGUUUCAUAUGUCCAUGGCAAACUCACCGUCGAACAGGAAAAGUGUAUAAGUCGUCACGGAAAACGUGAUCGACUUCUAGUUUCGAAAGUAGAUUUUAAUUCACGUAUAUCCCAGCGAAAUAAAAAAAAAUUACUCAUUGGUUGAGUUUUUUCAAAUUGGGGGUAAUUUCGUCAAAAAGUGUAUCAUAACUACAUCAUGCCUCUGUGUAGCAGAGCUACAGCAUGCCCUUGUUCAGUUGUCCAUUCAGUUUUUGGACUCAAUUGAUCUUUCGUGUUUCUAUUGAAAGAUCAAUUCGACUUAGUUUCGCCUGACAGUUAGCUUAAAUCGAGCUAGUUAAGUCAAUCUAUUCGAUUUGUAAAGAUUUGUAAGCUGCUCUUUUAAUGCAAACUAAGAUUUGAAAUGACAAGUAAACAAAUAGUUAUAUAUUCGUUUUGGUACUUGUAUAUAAGACUUUGAGCUGAACAUUCAAUCACUGACAUGACGGCUAAGUUUUCAGCCUUUGUGCGAACGUGUGUACUCACCUCAUUGGUCGUCAUGUAUGCGAAUGUCUGGAUCUUUACGCUUUCCCAGGAGCGCAGAAAAUAUCCAUGGUAUUAUUUUUUAACAAUGUGGAACUUUUUCUUCCAAACUUUGUACAGUGUUUUUGCUGUUAUUUCAUCGGCAGCUGAACUCACUUUUGGUCUGCCCAUACUUUCCAAAGUGAUCAUUGAAUCUAUCAUUUCAUACGCAAUUACCCCCUUAUCUUCUUUUGUGGUGAUUGUGUUCUGGGCUAUGUUUCUAUAUGAUGAAAAACUGAUGGUGAGAAGUGGCGAAGCUGACUUGCUACCCCCGUGGCUGAACUAUACUAUUCAUUUAUACAUUUUGUUGCUUCCUGCUGUCGAGUUUUUCUUCCUUCCUAGACCUCGUUUCUCAGCCAGAAAUGCGAUGCUGUCAAUGGCUGGUAUCGGAUUGGCAUAUCUUGGACUACUGGAGUUCCUUAUGAACGUUUAUGAGAUCACACCGUACCCCUUCUAUCAGUUGAUGUCAACGUCUUCACGAUUUUUGCUCAAUCUCUUCUUCAUAGCAGGUGUAGCUCCUGUAUGCUGUCUCCUCACGUGGAGUUUCAGAGCAGCUGUUCACUUGUUGAAAGAACAAAGCAAAGAAAAGUUUAACUAGUCUAGCAACGUUGUGUUCCAGUAUUUUUUGUCAUUCUUGCUUGAAAAUCACAAUAAAACCUGGUACAAUCA